GAUGAAGAACGCAGCGAAAUGCGAUAAGUAAUGUGAAUUGCAGAAUUCAGUGAAUCAUCGAAUCUUUGAACGCACAUUGCGCCCGCCAGUAUUCUGGCGGGCAUGCCUGUUCGAGCGCCAUUACAACCCUCAGGCCCCCGGGCCUGGCGUUGGGGAUCGGCAGAAGCCCCCUGUGGGCACACGCCGUCCCUCAAAUACAGUGGCGGUCCCGCCGCAGCUUCCAUUGCGUAGUAGCUAACACCUCGCAACUGGAGAGCGGCGCGGCCAUGCCGUAAAACACCCAACUUCUGAAUGUUGACCUCGAAUCAGGUAGGAAUACCCGCUGAACUUAAGCAUAUCAAUAAGCGGAGGA
rnacentral:misc_RNA from 1 species